rnacentral:rRNA from 1 species
GAUGAACGCUAGCUACAGGCCUAACACAUGCAAGUCGAGGGACCGGCGCACGGGUGCGUGACACGUACCCAACCUGCCCUUUACCCGGGGAUAGCCUUUCGACAGAAAGAUUAAUACCCGAUAUAAUGGAUGGGGAUGCGUUAGUUUAGGGUGGUGGUGAGGUAACGGCUCACCAAGCUUUCGAUGGAUAGGGGUUAGGAGAGGAAGGACCACUACAUUGGAGCGGAGGCCCGGACCAAACUGGUACGGGGCACAGGGGUGAGGAAUAUUAGGCACUAAGCGGUGACCUGAACCAGCCAAGUAGCGUGAAGAAUGAAGGGUUAGGAGUCGUAAACUUCUUGUAUAUAAGAAUAUGUAUUAUAUGAAUAAGGAUCGGCUAACUCCGUGCCAGCAGCCGCGGUAAUUC